GACGUAGGGGGCCAGCGUUGCUCGGAAUUACUGGGCGUAAAGGGUUCGUAGGCGGUGCGGCAAGUCGGAAGUGAAAUCUCUGGGCUUAACUCAGAGGCUGCUCCCGAAACUGCCGUGCUUGAGUGCGGGAGAGGCGAGUGGAAUUGCAGGUGUAGCGGUGAAAUGCGUAGAUAUCUGCAGGAACACCCGUGGCGAAGGCGGCUCGCUGGACCGCAACUGACUCUGAGGAACGAAAGCUAGGGGAGCAAACAGG
rnacentral:rRNA from 1 species